GGAGAUUUGAUUUUGUAAAUGAGAGGGACCUAGCUCUUAUGUCUUAUAUUCUUCAGGACACCCCGAUCAACUUCCCCAAACUCAUCUAUAGGUAUAUGUGUGAGCCCCUAGAUAGACCUAGGCUCACCCUCCCAUACGGCAUGAUUUUCACCCUUUUCUUUAGGGAGUACGAGAUUCCCAUUCCUGAGAGGGAACCCUCUCGUGCAUUGCGAUGGACUGAUCGCUUGUGUACGGGGACCAUGCACAGGAUGGGGUUUCGGAAGAGAGAAGGGAUCUGGGUUAGGAAGUCUACCCUCACCGCUCAGACCACCAGACCUUCACCCAGUC
rnacentral:lncRNA from 1 species